rfam:Ictidomys tridecemlineatus contig035430, whole genome shotgun sequence.
GGGGAUAUAGCUCAGUUUGUAGAGUGCUUGCUCCACAUGCAAAAGGCCCUGGGUUCAAUUCCCAGCACCACCA